GACGUAGGGGGCCAGCGUUGUUCGGAAUUACUGGGUGUAAAGGGUUCGUAGGCGGUGCGGCAAGUUGGGAGUGAAAUCUCUGGGCUCAACCCAGAGGCUGCUUCCAAAACUGCUGUGCUUGAGUGUGAGAGAGGCUCGUGGAAUUGCAGGUGUAGCGGUGAAAUGCGUAGAUAUCUGCAGGAACACCCGUGGCGAAAGCGGCGAGCUGGAUCACUACUGACGCUGAGGAACGAAAGCUAGGGUAGCGAACGGG
rnacentral:rRNA from 1 species